rnacentral:rRNA from 1 species
UACAGAGGGGGCAAGCGUUGUUCGGAAUUACUGGGCGUAAAGGGCUCGUAGGCGGCCAACUAAGUCGGAUGUGAAAUCCCUAGGCUUAACCUGGGAACUGCAUCCGAUACUGGAUGGCUUGAAUCCGGGAGAGGGAUGCAGAAUUCCAGGUGUAGCGGUGAAAUGCGUAGAUAUCAGGAAGAACACCCGUGGCGAAGGCGGCUCUCUGGGACGGUACUGACGCUGAGACGCGAAAGCGUGGGGAGCGAACAGG